rnacentral:sRNA from 1 species
GCGCGGAGCCUUGCGGCCAGACGCUCUGC